rnacentral:lncRNA from 1 species
GCGUCUCUCCGGCUCCUGGCGCGGGGCUGACUCGGGGGCCGCUGGCCCCUCUUGGCCGCCGUCGCCACGCACCGAGUUUGUGUUUAAGGAGAAACUAACAAUGAAAACGGCCUCGUUGACGGAGGAAAAGUUGGAAUGCAGCCUCUGGUGCUGUUUGAGCGAUCCCUCUCCCCGGGGCCUGGCCGCGCGCUGCUGUGUUCUGGAAGGGCUCAUUGUACAGUCAAGGCGGCAGGAAUCCUCUUCAUCUUUCUCACCAAUAUGUUUUGUGGACUCUGACGAGCCAAAUCUGACAUCAGUUCUGGAACAUCUAGAAGAUACUAAGAACAACCAUUCAGUGAAGAGAGAAGCCAAGCUAUUUUCUCUUUUCCUCAUGAACAUUAUAUUUAGAAAUUAAAUGUUAAGAGAUAAUAUGAUAUAAUGUUAAGAGAUAAUAUGAUAUAAAAGCAUGAUUAAUGACUAUAAUCUUAGAGGAAUUAAAGUCUGGGUAUUUUAAGUCCUUCAAA